UGAUGCCUUAUAUAUUCUGACAAACACAAAAACCAUACCCACUAUUGUCUGAAUCCCAUAACAACCGUCUAGGGAUGAAUUACUAAAGCUAAUUCUAAAAAAUGGCUUACUAAUAAUGAAAAGCUCCAUAAUAAUUCUCAUCCAAUUCAAGCUUCUAAGCCUACUUUUCAUAAACAGGUAGAUGGAAUUGUUAAAACAGUAUUUAAAACUCUAGAUGAUGCCUCCAACUCUUCGG
rnacentral:misc_RNA from 1 species